rnacentral:rRNA from 1 species
CAGGAUGAACGCUAGCGACAGGCUUAACACAUGCAAGUCGAGGGGCAGCAUAAAAGUAGCAAUACUUUGGUGGCGACCGGCGCACGGGUGAGUAACGCGUAUGCAACCGUACCUAUCGAGAGGGGAAUAACCCGGCGAAAGUCGGACUAAUACCGCAUAAAACAGGGGGCACCGCAUGGUGAUAUUUGUUAAAGAAAUUCGCUGAUAGAUGGGCAUGCGUUCCAUUAGGUAGUUGGUGAGGUAACGGCUCACCAAGCCGACGAUGGAUAGGGGAACUGAGAGGUUGGUCCCCCACACUGGUACUGAGACACGGACCAGACUCCUACGGGAGGCAGCAGUGAGGAAUAUUGGUCAAUGGGCGAGAGCCUGAACCAGCCAAGUCGCGUGAAGGAAGAAGGAUCUAUGGUUCGUAAACUUCUUUUGCAGGGGAAUAAAGUGCAGGACGUGUCCUGUUUUGUAUGUACCCUGAGAAUAAGGAUCGGCUAACUCCGUGCCAGCCGCUGC